rnacentral:rRNA from 1 species
CAGCCGCCGCGGUAAUACGUAUGUCACAAGCGUUAUCUGGAUUUAUUGGGCGUAAAGCGCGUCUAGGUGGUUAUGUAAGUCUGAUGUGAAAAUGCAGGGCUCAACUCUGUAUUGCGUUGGAAACUGUGUAACUAGAGUACUGGAGAGGUAAGCGGAACUACAAGUGUAGAGGUGAAAUUCGUAGAUAUUUGUAGGAAUGCCGAUGGGGAAGCCAGCUUACUGGACAGAUACUGACGCUAAAGUGCGAAAGCGUGGGUAGCAAACAGGAUUAGAUACCCCGGUAGUCCCUGUCUCUUAUACA